rnacentral:misc_RNA from 1 species
GCCGCGCCACCACCUGCUUCGCCCCCUCGCCGCCAUGUCCACCACUGCCUCCCUCCCCACCAUCUCUCCCUCCACCACCCGGAUCGGUUGGAUCGGCACCGGCGUCAUGGGCCUCUCCAUGGCCUCCCACCUCAUCCGCGCCGGCUACUCCCUCACCGUCUUCAACCGCACCGCCUCCAAAGCCGACCCCCUCGUCACUCUUGGCGCCCGACUUGUCGACUCCCCUGCUGCAGUCGCCAGCUCCUCCGACGUCGUCUUCCUCAUCGUCGGCUACCCCUCUGAUGUCCGCCGCGUCGCCCUAGACCCCGCCUCCGGCGUUCUCCCCUCCCUCGCUCCAGGCUCUGUACUCGUCGACAUGACUACCAGCGACCCCGCCCUUGCAGCCGAGAUUGCCGCGGCCGCAGCAGCAGCCGCAUCCUCCUCCCUCGAUUGCCCCGUCUCCGGUGGCGACCGCGGCGCAAAAAACGGCACCCUCGCCAUCUUUGCUGGAGGCGAAGCCUCCGUUGUUGAGCGGCUCUCGCCCCUGUUCAGCCUCAUGGGGACGGUGAGGUACAUGGGCGGGCCGGGGGCAGGGCAGCGGGCGAAGCUGGGGAACCAGAUUGCGAUUGCUUCGACGAUGGUGGGGCUGGUGGAGGGGAUGAUGUUUGCGCAUAAAGCGGGGCUGGAUGUGGCACAGUGGCUGGAGGC